CAGCAGCCACGGGAAUACAGAGGGUGCGAGCGUUAAUCGGAUUUACUGGGCGUAAAGCGUGCGUAGGCGGCUUCUUAAGUCGGAUGUGAAAUCCCUGAGCUUAACUUAGGAAUUGCAUUCGAUACUGGUUAGCUAGAGUGUGGGAGAGGAUGGUAGAAUUCCAGGUGUAGCGGUGAAAUGCGUAGAGAUCUGGAGGAAUACCGAUGGCGAAGGCAGCCAUCUGGCCUAACACUGACGCUGAGGUACGAAAGCAUGGGGAGCAAACAGGAUUAGAUACCCCUGUAGUCCCUGUCUCUUAUAC
rnacentral:rRNA from 1 species